UACGUAGGGGGCAAGCGUUGUCCGGAAUUAUUGGGCGUAAAGAGCGCGUAGGCGGUCCGGUAAGUCCGCUGUGAAAGUCCAGGGCUCAACCCUGGAAUGCCGGUGGAUACUGCCGGGCUAGAGUCCGGAAGAGGCGAGUGGAAUUCCUGGUGUAGCGGUGAAAUGCGCAGAUAUCAGGAGGAACACCGAUGGCGAAGGCAGCUCGCUGGGCCGGUACUGACGCUGAGACGCGAAAGCGUGGGGAGCAAACAGG
rnacentral:rRNA from 1 species